GACGAACGCUGGCGGUGUGCUUAACACAUGCAAGUCGAACGGCAAGGCCCUGCUUUUGUGGGGUGCUCGAGUGGCGAACGGGUGAGUAACACGUGAGUAACCUGCCCUUGACUUUGGGAUAACUUCAGGAAACUGGGGCUAAUACCGGAUAGGAGCCCCUGCUGCAUGGUGGGGGUUGGAAAGUUUCGGCGGUUGGGGAUGGACUCGCGGCUAAUCAGCUUGUUGGUGGGGUAGUGGCUUACCAAGGCUUUGACGGGUAGCCGGCCUGAGAGGGUGACCGGCCACAUUGGUACUGAGGUACGGCCCAGACGCCUACAGGAGGCAGCAGUGGGAAAUAUUACCCAGUGGGAGGAAGCCUGAUGCAGCAACGCCGCGGGCGGGAUGACGGCCUUCGGGUUGUAAAACGCUUUCGCCUGUGACGAAGCGUGAGUGACGGUAAUGGGUAAAGAAGCACCGGCUAACUACGUG
rnacentral:rRNA from 1 species